UCGACGAUGAAUCUUCUAGCUUGCUAGAAGUGGAUUAGUGGCGCACGGGUGAGUAAUGCAUAGGUUAUGUGCCCUUUAGUCUGGGAUAGCCACUGGAAACGGUGAUUAAUACUGGAUACUCCCUACGGGGGAAAGUUUUUCGCUAAAGGAUCAGCCUAUGUCCUAUCAGCUUGUUGGUGAGGUAAUGGCUCACCAAGGCUAUGACGGGUAUCCGGCCUGAGAGGGUGAUCGGACACACUGGAACUGAGACACGGUCCAGACUCCUACGGGAGGCAGCAGUAGGGAAUAUUGCUCAAUGGGGGAAACCCUGAAGCAGCAACGCCGCGUGGAGGAUGAAGGUUUUAGGAUUGUAAACUCCUUUUGUUAGAGAAGAUUAUGACGGUAUCUAACGAAUAAGCACCGGCUAACUCCGUGCCAGCAGCCGCGGUAAUACGGAGGGUGCAAGCGUUACUCGAAAUCACUGGGCGUAAAGAGUGCGUAGGCGGGGUAAUAAGUCAGAUGUGAAAUCCUGUAGCUUAACUACAGAACUGCAUUUGAAACUGUUACUCUGGAGUGUGGGAGAGGUAGGUGGAAUUCUUGGUGUAGGGGUAAAAUCCGUAGAGAUCAAGAGGAAUACUCAUUGCGAAGGCGACCUGCUGGAACAUUACUGACGCUGAUGCACGAAAGCGUGGGGAGCAAACAGGAUUAGAUACCCUGGUAGUCCACGCCCUAAACGAUGGAUGCUAGUUGUUGCCUUGCUUGUCAGGGCAGUAAUGCAGCUAACGCAUUAAGCAUCCCGCCUGGGGAGUACGGUCGCAAGAUUAAAACUCAAAGGAAUAGACGGGGACCCGCACAAGCGGUGGAGCAUGUGGUUUAAUUCGAAGAUACGCGAAGAACCUUACCUAGGCUUGACAUUGAUAGAAUCUACU
rnacentral:rRNA from 1 species